UAGAAUAGAUUAGAUUAGGUUAGAACGUGCGUCUCCACUGUUUCCUUUCUUUUGUUUGCUGGAAUCAAAGAUGAGCCGCCAUGACGGUAUACGUAUCUGGAAUUUAACCAAGAAGCAUAAUAAAAACAUGUUUUAAUAGAACAGGAUAGCUUACAAGAGCAGGUUGAAGAACCUUAGAUUCAAGCUGUCAAUAGGACAAAAACAUCACUAAUUUGACAAUGUAUAAAAUAGUGGAAUCUAGAAUACAGCUAUUUAAAAGAAAUCCUGAAUACUUACAAAUUUAAACAAACAAUCAAGAAUAAAAUUAUAUUACUGGAAAUGAUCAAAACCUGCAUAUAAAUAUUUGUGUAAUUAUGUCUAAUGCAAGUUCCUUAAAUAAUUUUGUCUGUUCUGUAAAUUUAGUAAUGUAUGAAAUUAAAUGGAAUCUGUAAAGCAUCUUUGAUCAUGAUAUCCUACUGUUAAUUCGAUGUAAUUAAUAGCGACAAAAUUCGAGUGACAAAUAGAUACCGUACUCUUGCUACCUGAUCGUCUGAAUAGGGCAUUCGUAAUUAUAUACAGUCUGGCUUGAUGAUCAAAGCAGUACAAGUUACCUAUCUUAUAUACUGAGGAACACAUGUUUAUAUCUAGAUUAAACCUUUAGAGUUUUUACUGGUGUUUGUAUUUGGAUAUGUCAAAUUCUGUUCAUAAUGUCCUGACUGUUCUGACCUGUCUUUAAUGAGUAAACCUGGUGAUGAUAGUGUGUUUGUAUCAUCAAAUCAAUCAAAUUAAAGAAAGCGAAUAAUAAAAUACAGGAUGAAAAUAUUAAUGAAUUAGUUUUUAUUGAUGAAGUAAUUGAU